rnacentral:rRNA from 1 species
GACAGAGGGUGCAAACGUUGUUCGGAAUUACUGGGCGUAAAGCGUGCGCAGGCGGUCUGUUAAGACAGGUGUGAAAUCCCCGAGCUCAACUUGGGAAUUGCGCUUGUUACUGGCAGGCUAGAGUGUGGCAGAGGGGGGUGGAAUUCCACGUGUAGCAGUGAAAUGCGUAGAUAUGUGGAGGAACACCGAUGGCGAAGGCAGCCCCCUGGGUUAACACUGACGCUCAGGCACGAAAGCGUGGGGAGCAAACAGG